CUUCUCGGGAAAUUGGGAAAGUUUUGCAGAGAAGAGGAAGGGGGAGGGGUCUGGACUGUGUAGAGUGAAAGCUUGAAUUGAGUUCGCUUGGAGAAGGACACGUGCAGUUUUUGUGGAUAACAGGGAAGAAAAUGGAGCGAGCAGAUUGGGCACUGAAGACGGGGCGGCGCGCGGUCAUAAACUUUUCGAAUAGAAUGCAAAUGGGUAAAAAUCACGCGGGAUCCUUUUAUUUCUUACAUUUAUACAGAUCGAUCCUUCGAUAAAUAUUUGGUCAAAUUGAACUCAAUGGCUAGCCAAGUCGUUUAAAAGUUAUUUAUAAAUAGAGUAUUACUUCGAUUUUUCAAGAGAAUGUUGUAAAAAAUUGUUUAUGUAAAUUGUAAAAAUAUUUUAUAUUAGUAAAAUAUUUUAUAUAAAACAAACACUCUAACUCGGA